UGGGGAAUAUUGCACAAUGGGCGAAAGCCUGAUGCAGCGACGCCGCGUGCGGGAUGAAGGCCUUCGGGUUGUAAACCGCUUUUGAUUGGGAGCAAGCGAGAGUGAGUGUACCUUUCGAAUAAGCACCGGCUAACUACGUGCCAGCAGCCGCGGUAAUACGUAGGGUGCAAGCGUUAUCCGGAAUUAUUGGGCGUAAAGAGCUCGUAGGCGGUUUGUCGCGUCUGGUGUGAAAGUCCAUCGCUUAACGGUGGAUCUGCGCCGGGUACGGGCAGGCUAGAGUGCGACAGGGGAGACUGGAAUUCCCGGNGUAAC
rnacentral:rRNA from 1 species